AGCGUAGACGGCAAGGCAAGUCUGAAGUGAAAGCCCGGUGCUUAACGCCGGGACUGCUUUGGAAACUGUUUGGCUGGAGUGCCGGAGAGGUAAGCGGAAUUCCUAGUGUAGCGGUGAAAUGCGUAGAUAUUAGGAAGAACACCAGUGGCGAAGGCGGCUUACUGGACGGUAACUGACGUUGAGGCUCGAAAGCGUGGGGAGCGAACA
rnacentral:rRNA from 1 species